rnacentral:lncRNA from 1 species
UUUGCCGCCGGCGACGCGCCAUUAUCGACGGAAUUAGCAACGUGCUAACGUGCGCAUUCAAGCGCACUGUUCCAUCUUAACGUGCGCCCAGAGCAAUCUCCUUCUCAAAGGUAAAUUUCCCGAUAUUGUAUUUUAAUUGGAAUCAUUAUUCUAACAAUUGGUAUCAGAGCCACCUUCAUAUUUGGAUAAUUUGGAUGUUCAUAAGAUUUAUGUUAU